ACCUAUUUAAAAUUUUAAAAAUCGGUUAAGGAUUAAAAAAGUUACACGCGUAAAACGAAAUUCAAAAUUUUCCAAUGGUAACUCUAUGGGGGAAGGAAACUACCCGAUGGAACGAAUUCCAACGGGUAAAACGAAAAAAGACAGACACAAACAGACACAGACACUCACCAAAACACACCAGGAACAAAAAUUUGGCAGUAGGAACCCCUAAAAACAGUAAAAAAAAUCCAAAAGCAGAAGCAGCUGAAAACACGUCUGCACUCUACAACAGACAAGCAGUGACUGGUCGGCGUACGCGUAUCGUCAACUGCGAGUCGAAUCUUGUACGCGUCUAUGACGAU
rnacentral:lncRNA from 1 species